rnacentral:rRNA from 1 species
UACGGGGGUGGCAAGCGUUGUUCGGAAUUACUGGGCGUAAAGGGUGCGUAGGCGGGUCUUUAAGUCAGGGGUGAAAUCCUGGAGCUCAACUCCAGAACUGCCUUUGAUACUGAAGAUCUUGAGUUCGGGAGAGGUGAGUGGAACUGCGAGUGUAGAGGUGAAAUUCGUAGAUAUUCGCAAGAACACCAGUGGCGAAGGCGGCUCACUGGCCCGAUACUGACGCUGAGGCACGAAAGCGUGGGGAGCAAACAGG